AUUGAACGCUGGCGGCAGGCCUAACACAUGCAAGUCGAGCGGAUGACGGGAGCUUGCUCCUUGAUUCAGCGGCGGACGGGUGAGUAAUGCCUAGGAAUCUGCCUGGUAGUGGGGGACAACGUUCCGAAAGGGGCGCUAAUACCGCAUACGUCCUACGGGAGAAAGUGGGGGAUCUUCGGACCUCACGCUAUCAGAUGAGCCUAGGUCGGAUUAGCUAGUUGGUGAGGUAAAGGCACACCAAGGCGACGAUCCGUAACUGGUCUGAGAGGAUGAUCAGUCACACUUGAACUGAGACACGGUCCAGCCUCCUACGGGAGGCAGCAGUGGGGAAUAUUGGACAAUGGGCGAAAGCCUGAUCCAGCCAUGCCGCGUGUGUGAAGAAGGUCUUCGGAUUGUAAAGCACUUUAAGUUGGGAGGAAGGGCAGUAAGUUAAUACCUUGCUGUUUUGACGUUACCAACAGAAUAAGCACCGGCUAACUUCGUGCCAGCAGCCGCCGUAAUAC
rnacentral:rRNA from 1 species